UAACAUGCUUACAGUAUUUCAGAUCUGAAAUGUUCUACUGCACUAAAAUUCUAUUCUAAUUGCUUCUAAACGAAGCAGAAAUAACAGAUUGCUAGCACCUUCAACUUGUCCAUCUCUCACAGAAGACUGUACGCUAUGACUGCUAAGCAAACUGUAUUGUUGCUUUAUCUUUUAAAGUUUCUAAGUGCAGAUUUCCUCAUAGGACAAAAUUGGUCUUCUUGUCUGAAGCAAAAAAACAGUAGAAAAUUUUAAAAACAAAAACAUUGUUCCAGUCAUUGUGGAAUUAAAAUUGUUCUCUCCUCUCUACUCCCCUCAUUCCUGUUUUGUUUUCUCUUCAUAGGUAUAUAUGACCGACCUAGGCUUUGUUGACAUAGAAAGUUGAACUGCAAGCUUUUUUUCUAAGUGUGGAUACUUACAACAGCCUGUUGAAAGUCAGCGAAGAAAUAACUGCUUCUCAGAUUUGUCUUGUCCUUCAAUAUGUAUCUAAAACAGAAUCAUGGAAUCAUCUAGUGGUUGACAGCGCUGCCCCCGGCAGGGGCUUGGAACUAGAUGAUCUUUACCUUCCAACCCCCAAACAAGUUUGUGAUUCAAUGAACAAGUUGCCCAAAGAAGUGAAGGAGUCACCAUUCCUGGAGGUACGUAAGAAGCAUGUGGGUGUGCUGCUUAGCAACGUGGUUUAGUGGUGGACUUACUAGUUAGUUGUGUGAUUGGAAUUAAUGAUAACAGAAUUGUAGAAUCAUAGAAUGGUUUGGGUUGGAAUGGACUAUUACAAUCAUCUAGUUCCAACCCUCCCUGCUAUAGACAGAGACACCUCC
rnacentral:lncRNA from 1 species